rnacentral:rRNA from 1 species
AUGAGUUCUAAUAUGCAGCGCCAAGCAGUUCCGCUUUCUCGGUCCGAGAAAUGCAUUGUUGGAACUGGAUUGGAACGCCAAACAGCUCUAGAUUCGAGGGUUUCCAUUAUAGCUUAA